AACCUAAAACUCUCCUUUAUAGUUUUUUCCCCAAUUUCUUAGGUUAUUUUUCAUUUAUAAACAAGUUAAAUGCCAGAGUACCCGUUUAGAAUUUUUAUCAAAGCAAAACCCUAAAUCGCUCUCUCUUAUUUCACAGCUGACGCCCCACAGAUUCCGCCGUCCAGUUUCUAUCCACCGCCAGUUGCAUCAACGACGGAGUUUUGUUCAACAGUUUGGAGCUCUACUCUACAAUGAUAUGGAGUUGCACUCUACAAUGAAAGGCAUACAAACACUAAUAUGUACAAGUGGACUAUACUACUUUCAUAAAAAGGGUGAUUCUGUUGCAACCCGGAACCACUAUCAGUUUAAAAGUUGUAUCUCCAUCUUCGGACUCUAAAGGCGAAAAUCUCACUAAGAUAACAUUCACUUCGACUGAUAAGACCAACACAACUAAAACAAUGUUUACCCUUCGUUUCAUUCAUUCUGGGGGUUGUCUAUUUCAUUGAGAGGUGUUUUGGGGAGGGAUUCCUUGCCACCAUCUUGGUGGAUGGAAUCUCAAACACAAUUAAUGACAUCAGCCUCUUUGGCUUCCUUAAAAAUGUCUCAUCCUUCCCAAACAAAACCAAUGUGUUGAAGUUCAUUCCUGUUUUCAAUCUUGCUACGAAGGCCUUGAUGUUGUUUGUUCUUCUAAAGGUGCUUAACACGCCGUCAUUUGUAGCCGUUGAUGGGAAAGAGUUGGUUGUGGUCGAGAGGGAGGAAGGCUGGUGGAGAUGAGAAACCCGCUGAUGAGAGGCCCACUGAUGAGAAGCCCGCUGAUAAGAAGUGAUUUUAGUAUUCAUUGUGAAGGUAUACUUUGAACAUUGCGACGUUUAGAGUUUUUGGUUGAUUUCUUACUCGGAAUACAUUUCUAACAUUUAGAGUUUUUGGUUGGUUUCCUACUUAGAAUAUAUUUUUAGUGUAAAACAUGUGUUUGCAAUCUGUGGUGAGUUUCUCAGCGCCUUGCCCAGGCGCGUAUUCUGCUAAAAUCCCGUCUAAUGUAUACUUCGAUCUAAAAUGACAAUAACGCUAAGAGAAAUACACAGGUGCACUUAAUUGUUGAUCAAA